GGCUCAGUGGUAGAGUGCUUGCCUUGCAUGUAAGAGUCCCUGGGUUCGAUUCCUCAG
rnacentral:tRNA from 1 species